ensembl:lncRNA
CAGCCGUUUCCUGCUUUCUUCCUUGGAGGGAGGUGCUGGUCUCCACACACGCUUUGCUUUUCAAUGAAGCAUAUAAAUGAAGUGUGUGUAAUCACAAAGACAAAAUACAAGUGACUCAAAUUUACAGGUGGUGCAGCCAGAAAUGCAUUCCAGAAACUAAAGAUGCGCAGUAACACCAUACAGCCUGAAUUUGAAAAAAAAGCCACUAUGGUGUGUGUGGAGCUGCGCAUGGAGAAUGCUGUAUCCACAGAGCCUGCUGUUGGUGUCCUGGUCUGCUCUCACGUGCCUGUUCUUUGGAGAUCAGGAAGGAAUUCAGUUGGGGCUGAAUGGCAAGCUGUGCCACUGUAUUGUUGGUAGAUCACCACCCUUGUAAGAAAAUAAAAAUACCCACCAUACACCAUGAAGGAACCUCCUUUUGAUCUUCUCUGAGUAUGUAGGUCACUUAAUGUGAAUAGGAUUUAGAAGCCAUUUUUACAGCACUUGGUUUUUAUUUGCCACAAAAUGCUCAUGGUGGAUGCUAUAAAAAACAAAAGUUUUAAAUAGACCUAAGCUUUUAUCUCCAUUUGUGUAUCAUAUGGAAUACCUUAUUUGUACUGAUAGGUUUUUGUUCAAGAUCUCCCUGUGUCAGGAAAUUUUUUGUUCUGAUAGACCUCGCUCAAUUAUCUUCAACACAAAAAGAGACAGAGCAUGUCUCCAACUUUAUGCUGCCCAGGGAGGA